rnacentral:rRNA from 1 species
GAUGAACGCUGGCGGCGUGCCUAAUACAUGCCAGUCGAGCGAACGGACGAGAAGCUUGCUUCUCUGAUGUUAGCGGCGGACGGGUGAGUAACACGUGGAUAACCUACCUAUAAGACUGGGAUAACUUCGGGAAACCGGAGCUAAUACCGGAUAAUAUUUUGAACCGCAUGGUUCAAAAGUGAAAGACGGUCUUGCUGUCACUUAUAGAUGGAUCCGCGCUGCAUAGCUAGUUGGUAAGGUAACGGCUUACCAAGGCAACGAUGCAUAGCCGACCUGAGAGGGUGAUCGGCCACACUGGAACUGAGACACGGUCCAGACUCCUACGGGAGGCAGCAGUAGGGAAUCUUCCGCAAUGGGCGAAAGCCUGACGGAGCAACGCCGCGUGAGUGAUGAAGGUCUUCGGAUCGUAAAACUCUGUUAUUAGGGAAGAACAUAUGUGUAAGUAACUGUGCACAUCUUGACGGUACCUAAUCAGAAAGCCACGGCUAACUACGUG